CUGUAUUUUGGGGACUGAAUACCUGCUGAUCACGCGGUCCUAUAACCCGUGACAAUGUUUCAAGUGUCUGCCCUAUCAACUUUCGAUGGUAGUUUAUGUGCCUACCAUGGUUGUAACGGGUAACGGAGAAUAAGGGUUCGACUCCGGAGAGGGAGCCUGAGAAAUGGCUACCACAUCCAAGGAAGGCAGCAGGCGCGCAAAUUACCCACUCUCAGAUCGAGGAGGUAGUGACGAAAAAUAACGAGACGGUUCUCUUUGAGGCCCGUCAUCGGAAUGGGUACAAUUUAAACCCUUUAACGAGGAUCUAUUGGAGGGCAAGUCUGGUGCCAGCAGCCGCGGUAAUUCCAGCUCCAAUAGCAUAUACCAAUUCUGUUGCUGUUAAAAAGCUCGUAGUUGGAUCUUUUCCGAGGGUCCAGUCUGUCUCAAGGACAUGUACUGGAUUCCGAGGAUAUAGACGCUGGUCUUCUCAUGGUCCUCUUUAUUGAGUGCCUUGGGUGGCUAGCAGGUUUACUUUGAAAAAAUUAGAGUGCUCAAAACAGGCGAUACGGCCCGAAUAGUGGUGCAUGGAAUAAUGGAAUAGGAUCUCGGUUUUAUUUUGUUGGAUUUAAGAGCGCGAAUAAUGAUUAAGAGGGACAGACGGGGCAUU
rnacentral:rRNA from 1 species